rnacentral:rRNA from 1 species
AGUGAACGUUGGCGGCGUGGAUUAGGCAUGCAAGUCGAGCGAUCGUAGCAAUACGGGAGCGGCAAACGGGGUAGGAAUACAUCGGAACGUACCUUUUGGUUGAGAAUAGCGUUGGGAAACUGACGGUAAUACUCAAUAAAGUCGAGAGACCAAAGGUUUACUGCCGGAAGAGCGGCCGAUGCGAUAUUAGGUAGUUGGUGGGGUAAUGGCCUACCAAGCCUGAGAUGUCUAGGGGGCGUGAGAGCAUGGCCCCCACCACUGGGACUGAGAUACUGCCCAGACACCUACGGGUGGCUGCAGUCGAGGAUCUUCGUCAAUGGGCGAAAGCCUGAACGAGCGACGCCGCGUGCGGGAUGAAGGCCCUUGGGUUGUAAACCGCUGUCAGGGGGGAUGAAACCGUAAGGUUGACAGAGCCCAGAGGAAGCACGGGCUAAGUUCGUGCCAGCAGCCGCG